rnacentral:rRNA from 1 species
UACGGAGGGUGCAAGCGUUAUCCGGAUUCACUGGGUUUAAAGGGUGCGUAGGUGGGAAUGUAAGUCAGUGGUGAAAUCUCCGUGCUUAACAUGGAACUGCCAUUGAUACUAUGUUUCUUGAAUUUUCUGGAGGUAAGCGGAAUAUGUCAUGUAGCGGUGAAAUGCUUAGAUAUGACAUAGAACACCAAUUGCGAAGGCAGCUUACUACAGGGACAUUGACACUGAGGCACGAAAGCGUGGGGAUCAAACAGG